rnacentral:rRNA from 1 species
GAAAUUAUUAUUUAGUGUUUUUAGGUAGAAAAUUUUAAUUAAAAUAAUUUUAGUGGAUAAUUUUUAGUAUAGUUUAUAGAAAGGAAUAUGAUAUGAUAGAGGAGUAGUACUGUGAAGGAAAUAUGAAAUAGAAUGAAAUAAUUAUUAAAUAAAAAGGAGGAUAAUAUUUGUACCUUGGGUAUCAGGGUUUACUAAAAUAUAGUAAUGAUUUAUAGCUCCCGAAUUAGAAAGGGUGAAAGUAAUAUAGUAGUUAAUGUGGUAUUAUUAUUAUUAAUAUUACUUUUGUGAUGAAACGUUAAACGUUUUCUAAAAUAUCUGGUUUUUCAAGAAAUGAAUUUAAUUCAUGUUAUUAAGAGUAGGUGUUAAUUAUAUUAACAGUUUAUUUUUAAUAGCAAAUAUAUUGGGGGAUAAGCUCUUAUGUAUAUAUUAUAAUUUUAAUAAAUUAAUACAAGGAGGUAGGCUUUAGAUUAGCUAUCUGUGGAAUAAUGUUAUAAAUUGUUUUAUGAUUUUUGUUAUUUUUUUAAUGUAAUGUUUAAUUUGUUUAUUGAAGUAUUUUGUUUAAUUGUUUAACAAAAGGAAUAAUGGUAGAAUGAGUAUAUGAAUUUGUUAAAAUAAAUUAUUAGGGGAAUUUAUGAUAAGGAAUUAGGCAAAGUAUCACUCGCCUGUUUAUCAAAAACAUCUCUUUUUGUGUCUAUAUAAGGUUGGGCCUGCCCGCUGAAAUUGUUGAAGGGCCGCGGUAUUAUGACCGUGCAAAGGUAGCAUAAUCAUUAGUCUUUUAAUUGAGGGCUGGAAUGAAUGGUUUGACGAGGUGAUAACUGUCUCAUCAUGAUUUAUAGAAGUUUACAUUUGAGUUAAAAGGCUUAAAUUUUAGUGGAGGACGAGAAGACCCUAUAGAGCUUUAUGUAUAUAGUUGAAUUUACAUUCAGAAGUUUAUUGAAAUUUAGGUUAAUUGCAUUAUGUUGGGGUGACAUAAAGAUAGAAGUAACUCUUUAUUUUUAUAACAUUGAUUUAUGGAUUAUUGAUCCAUUCUUAAUGAUCAUAAGAUGAAGUUACCUUAGGGAUAACAGCGUAAUUUUCCUUGAGAGUUCGUAUCAACAGGGAAGAUUGCGACCUCGAUGUUGGAUUAAGGAAUAUAAUUGGAUGUAGCCGUUUAAUUUAUAGGUCUGUUCGACCUUUAAAUCCUUACAUGAUCUGAGUUCAGACCGGCGUAAGCCAGGUCGGUUUCUAUCCUUAGUAUAAUUUUAUAUUUUAGUACGAAAGGACCAAAUAUUUUAAAUAUUUUAUAUAAUAAUGAUAACUAAUAA